rnacentral:tRNA from 1 species
GUCGGGAUAGCUCAUUUGGUAGAGCAAAGGACUGAAAAUCCUCGUGUCACCAGUU